rnacentral:rRNA from 1 species
GUGCCAGCAGCCGCGGUAAUACGUAGGUGGCAAGCGUUGUCCGGAAUUAUUGGGCGUAAAGAGCGCGUAGGCGGUCGUGCAAGUCAAUCUUAAAAGUGCGGGGCUUAACCCCGUGAUGGGAUUGAAACUGUGCGACUGGAGUAUCGGAGAGGAAAGUAGAAUUCCUAGUGUAGCGGUGGAAUGCGUAGAGAUUAGGAAGAAUACCGGUGGCGAAGGCGACUUUCUGGACGAAAACUGACGCUGAGGCGCGAAAGCGUGGGGAGCAAACAGGAUUAGAUACCCUGGUAGUCC